GCUAUGGUAAUAAAUGGACAAUGAAAUAAACUUAUUGGACCCGGGGGCGGUACCCGGCGCCUCCACCAAAGUGUAAUAAAAAGUUAUACUUUGGUGGGGGCGAAAUAGGAUCGACAAGAGUGUAAAGAUUGCUCUUUUACUCGGCAUAGCACCACCGUUAUCGGGCUAAAUGAGUAGUUGCAAAUGACAACUCUGUGGGAACACGUCUCGCCGCUUAGUGUGGUGUGAAUGUUUCAAAUUAAGCCUUAAACCGUCACGGGUUUAAGCGGGGUUUGGAGGCACCUGGAAACAGAAGC
rnacentral:tmRNA from 1 species